GAGUAAAGAUAAAAGCCAGACUGUAAGACCUGACGAGGCUGGUUGAAUUGGUUGGCACUUUUGUCAAGGGAGGUAAAUAUUGUAAACCACUUUUGGCAAGGGAGGUAAAUAUUGUAAACCACUUUUGGCAAGGGAGGUAAAUAUUGUAAACCACUUUGGUAAGGGAGGUAAAUAUUGUAAACCACUUUUGGUAAGGAAGGUAAAUAUUGUUAACCAUUUUUGAUAAGGGAGGUAAAUAUUGUAAACCACUUUUUGGCAAGGGAGGUAAAUAUUGUAAACCACUUUUGGUAAGGGAGGUAAAUAUUGUUAACCAUUUUUGAUAAGGGAGGUUAAUAUAGUAAACCACUUUUUGGCAAGGGAGGCAAAAUAUUGUAAACCACUUUUGGCAAGGGAGGUAAAUAUUGUACACCACUUUUGGCAAGGGAGGUAAAUAUUGUAAUAAAAUAUUGGGAACCUAUCUAUUGCGACUACAUAUCAUUAUAUAAAGUACACAUAUCCAUGCAUAAUCCUACGAAUGAAGCAGGCUUCACUAUGGAAUAUUGUGCGAUGUAACCAUGUGCAAAAGUCUUAGAGACAUGCCAAUUUUCAUGAAGUCGUAAAUGCUUGUUAUUUAGAUUUUGUAGUGUUUUGCUUUGGCUGUUGGCCAUUUUCUAAGUCAUUCUUGGUAGAAGUUAACAACAAGUAGUUCAUAACAUUUUUUUAUUGUUCAAAGCAUAUGUUUGAUUAAUUUAUCUGAUAAAUUAUGUUAUUAAAAUUUGUUAGAAAGCCUUAUUUUAUUCUAUGAGAAUUUUGUUGCAUUUUGUUUGAAAUUGUUAUGCUGCAAAACUAGAUAUAUGAAUAAAAAAAAUAACAAUGAUUGAA